rnacentral:rRNA from 1 species
CCAAGGAGUCUAACAUGUGCGCGAGUCAUUGGGACUUGUUAAGCCUAAAGGCGCAAUGAAAGUGAAGGUCGGCCUUAGCGUCGACCCAGGGAGGAUGGUUCGCGUUACGAUGCGAGCCCGCACUCCCGGGGCGUCUCGUGCUCAUUGCGAGCAGAGGCGCACCUAGAGCGUACACGUUGGGACCCGAAAGAUGGUGAACUAUGCCUGGUCAGGACGAAGUCAGGGGAAACCCUGAUGGAGGUCCGUAGCGAUUCUGACGUGCAAAUCGAUCGUCGGAACUGGGUAUAGGGGCGAAAGACUAAUCGAACCAUC